UUUAUUGGAGAGUUUGAUCCUGGCUCAGGACGAACGCUGGCGGCGUGCCUAAUACAUGCAAGUCGAGCGAGUCCCU
rnacentral:rRNA from 1 species